CCCAUUUUUUGGACGAGGAAACUCAGGCUUUCCUGUGGCCACUGAGCUACAGAACGGGAGUGGGGCUGGGCAGCCGGGUGUCCCGGCCCCUGAGUGCUGAGCUCUGGUCCCCAUGGCAUUUGCUUACAGGCAGCAGGUGGCAGAGGCUGUACCCCAGCCUUUCCCCACGCCCCGGGCACAGAGCUGGCGGGUUUCUCUUGUCCCCAGCCUUUGUCCUGCUCUGACCCUAUGGGUCGUAGACCUUGAAGGCACCAGCCCCACCUUCUGUGAGGCUUGUCAUCCCCUUGGCACUGGGGGCUGUGCUCUGUCCCCAGGGAAGGAGGAGAAGCCAUACCACAGCCUUCAGCCCUUUUGUGCCAAAGUCUGGCCCGUGUGAGAUGAAUGUGGAGGAAUUCGUUCCAUAUGGAUCCAAUUUCUUCUGGAAUAUGCAGCAAAUGAUGCUGGACGAAGGCAGGCUGCCUUGGCUGGACCUAAAAUAUGUGGGCGAUCGCUUCCAAGAUGUUUGACAACUCCAAGACUCGGCAGAACGGGCCGGCAGCACUGGCGGCAGCGACCAGCCCAGGAAUGAGCAACCAGAUGCCGCGGCUCAUCCUGUGCGUGCGCCAGGGACACAUGGACAGGGACCAAGACGCAGGAGAAUUCGGCCCGGCUGGGUGAGGUGCUGGGCAGGGCUGCCUGAGCUUGAGGGACUCCUCCCUCUGAGAGACACGGUGGCCCAUAACGUCAGGAGUGAGGUUUUAUUUUCUUGUGGUGGGACUUGAGCGAGCCUCUUGACUUUGCUGAGACUUGCGGGGGGGUCUCUGUCUGUCACGUGGGGCAGGCAGACCUGGAGAGUAGUGGGCAGAGCCGAAGCAGGCCCUUGGGCUUUACCCCUCUCUUUCCAGGCAUCUAUGUCUCCUCUUCUCAACAUGUACUUCUGAUGGGGGCUGCCCGUCAAAUAGCUCACCCUCUGACUGCAAGUGAUUGGCUUAAAGAUGGGCAUGUGAGCCACACCGGGCCAAUCAGAUCCCUUCCCUGGGAUUUCUGCUCUUGGGCUGGAGGAAGAGGUGAGCCCUGAGCUGACCGUGUCCCCCGCUCUGGGGAGAGGCUGGUCUGAGACAAAGAAGGUGCAGUAAAGAGAGAAGCAGAUGAAGACAAAGGAAAUGUCCAGGUGAGGUUGGCAUCCUGGAGGUCUGUCUCACACCUGUCCUCCUCCCCAGAUUUCUGGUGACAAGAGCGCCAGUUAAAACAUUUUCAUGUCAAAGCCACCGCGUAAGGAACACCUCAGGCCUCCCGGGAAGGAAGUGACGUGCAGGCAGCCCCAGAGGCCUCCGGCUGACGCUGGAGCAGCCUAACUGGCAGCCUGGGGCGGGGCUCCGAACUCUUCUGGAAGCUUUUAUGAGGAAGAAAUAUUCUGUAGCUGAAAAGAAAAAUAAAAUGUUUGAAAACUGUAA